UACGUAGGGGGCGAGCGUUGUCCGGAAUCAUUGGGCGUAAAGAGCGUGUAGGCGGCUUGGCAAGUCUGACGUGAAAGCCCGCGGCUCAACCGCGGAUUGUCGUUGGAAACUGCCUCGCUAGAGUCCGGAAGAGGAGAGCGGAAUUCCUGGUGUAGCGGUGGAAUGCGCAGAUAUCAGGAAGAACACCCGUGGCGAAGGCGGCUCUCUGGGACGGUACUGACGCGAGACGCGAA
rnacentral:rRNA from 1 species